AACGCGGAGCUCGCGGACAUCUCUGCUGCCGUGAUGCGAUUUACCGUGCGGAGCGGCGGCGAUGAGAGACUGAGUCACGUGACUCGGGUGCUGAAACAGACAAGGCCGCGCCGAGCGCAUGCGUGCACGGGCACAGCUAGAUUCGUGUUUUUUUAUAAAAUAAUGAAUUAUGAAAAAAAUGUACUCUUAAAACUGCAGUUAUGUCUUAAAACACAAAUAAAUGGAAUAUAUUUUAUGUAAAUAAACAGCAAGUAAAAUUCGUUUGGUAUUCUAUAUCAAAACGAAAUGAGCAGGUGAACUCGUGAAAUACUCAAAAGUCAGGUCUAAAAAUAGGGUUUCUUCAACCACUUUAUUUCGUUUGAUGAUCCCUAAUAAUUUCUAAUAAUAGAAUAUUAUAAUAAUAGAAUAAUCCCUAAUAAUUUCUAAUGAUGGUCAGGACAAUUAAUCAUAGCAAAAACUAUUUAAUUCAUUUGUUUAAAACACUUACGUUAAAGUUAUAAUGCAUUUUUGCCUUUAACAUUUAUAUUUACAGUCAAAAUAAUACUUUACCUUGAUUUUUGCUCCUAACAAAACUGCAAGUUUGCCUUUUUCCACCAGAUGGCGCCAGCGCUGUGUCGCUGCAGUCGAGUCGUGAGCUUCUCUACUAAGUUUUCUGUUAACCGCUGACAGAUGCCUUAAAAGGUAAAACACGUGGAAGGAGAGAGCAGAUACGGUGUGUGCUUUCUAAAAUAAGCUAAAGCCCUCUGAAUGAACAUAUCACAAGCACUUACAUAUGCAGUCUGGUGUUAAAUCCAUACAAGGAGAUGCUAAGGAUUAAACAAAGCAUUGGAAAAUCAAAGCUGGAACGGACUUAUCAGUUUAGUUUUUGCAGGACUGGAUGCUUAAGAUAACUAGACGAGCCAUUGCCAUGUUUAAUAAAAGAAUUUGUAUAUGCAUGCAAAAA